GGCCCUUUCAGCUGACGGCUUUGGAUUGCAUAUGCUGAGUUCCAAGUACCCAUUGUUCAGUGGAAGAAGUUUACUUCCAUAGCAGUUUACUCUUCCUUUUUCAGGAAAAGGGAGAUUUGAUCUCCCUUAAUGGGAACAUCUGAGAGAAUAGGAGGGAACUGAGGAGAAGGUGCUUGAAGUGGCACAAUAUUAGGGACCUGUAAGGUAUCUGGUGAUCACACUUGAGUCAGCGUGGGAUGUGUGUCAGGAGAAAAGGCUCAGGACUGCAGGAGGUAGACAGAGCCCCUGUGGGGUGUUCCAUGUCCUGUGACAUUGCUUAUAAAUUGCAGAAAAGCAGCUGAGCAGUGGAGAUGUUCCCUUGCUGCACAGGCUGCUGCAGGAGCCCUCUGAGAGGAUUGCCGAGUUCUUUCUCAUGGAUGGGGACCUGGAGGAGAUCAGCAGUGAUUCGAUUGUGCACAGAAGAAAUGAAGAGGAGCAGCAGGAGA